rnacentral:sRNA from 1 species
CCUCUUCAAUCUGCUGCGGGCAAAUAAAGUGAAUAUGCGCAUCAAUGCCGCCGGCGGUUAAUAUUUUACCUUCACCAGCAAUCACUUCGGUACCCGGGCCAAUUUCGAUAUCAAUAUUGUCCUGAAUAUCCGGGUUGCCUGCUUUACCUAUAAUAGCGAUUCGGCCUUCUUUAAUGCCCACAUCGGCUUUAAUUAUUCCCCAGUGAUCAACAAUCAGCGCGUUGGUUAUAACCAAGUCCACGGUAUCAAAACAGGAUGCCUGGCUUUGUCCCAUGCCGUCACG